UGACCGGAGAAGGCAUCAGUUCAUGCACUGCACUGGCCUGCACCACGAUUAGUAUAAGACCAAAUCCCCUGUACACGUAUAGUGAGUCUGAGGAUGAGCAGCCCACAAAAAAACGGUGUCCCCAGGCCCCUCGAGUGAAAAUACCAGCCCUCACCACUCCGCAGUCCUCCCCCCAGCCCACUGACAGCAGGCAUCAUAAUGCCCCUCCCAGCUUCGAGCACCUUUCGCCACUCCGGCAGAACACUCCAAACGACACAGCUUUGCAAUCAGCAUGCAGAGUCUGAUGUCGAGGCCUUCCCUAUAGAUGAUUCCAGAGACUCUGUGAGGCCACUAUUACAAGAUGCUGUCAGACCUGACGAGAUCUCUUAACGAACUCCGUGAGGAGGUCAGAGCCAUCCGCAAUACCGGCUCCAAUGAAUCUGUAGAUGCUGGGGUACUCCCUUUGGAUUUGCCCUUGCACAACAUUGAGGAGAUAAAUAAUGCAGAGGCAGCUCUUCAAUCGCAAGAGGCAAAUAAGGCAAUGGUGAGACGCUUUGCCUUGAUUGGAGGGACCACACUGGAGGUGCGAGUCCGCCGUGUAAUGGCUUAUGCUAUUACAAACGAGCUGGCCUCACUACUAAACUGGGCAGGGAAAAAAACAAAGGACCAGACGAAGCGAAGAAGGGCAUUUAAAGAUACUGCGCUGUGCAGAUGCAUAUUUGAUGGCCUGACGCAGCAGUUAGGGGCAAACUCUAUGUCCGAGUUUGUCUUUGCACAGGCAGUGCAGAAAUGGCUCCGAUACGCCCCAGACCGUUUGGGUGGCGCAGGACGCACAUCAUCCGUCCCCAUCCCGGAGUAAAAACUACAAAGUUAUGUUAAAAUAUAAAUGUAAAUAGAAAACUGUUUUAAUAAAGUAUUUAGCAAAU
ensembl:lncRNA